AGGGGUCACCGAGUGCCAGCAUCAUAUGUUGGCUGUCCAGAUGUGUAAAAUACAUCUGUUAGCAAGGGCCGGGCAAGACCGGUGCCAGCCGCCGCGGUAACACCGGCGGCCCGAGUGGUGAUCGUGAUUAUUGGGUCUAAAGGGUCCGUAGCCGGUUUGGUCAGUCCUCCGGGAAAUCUGACGGCUCAACCGUUAGGCUUUCGGUGGAUACUGCCAGACUUGGAACCGGGAGAGGUAAGAGGUACUACAGGGGUAGGAGUGAAAUCUUGUAAUCCCUGUGAGGCCACCUGUGGCGAAGGCGUCUUACCAGAACGGGUUCGACGGUGAGGGACGAAAGCUGGGGGCACGAACCGGAUUAGAUACCCGGGUAGUCCCAGCCGUAAACGUUGCUCGCUAGGUGUCAGGCAUGGCGCGACCGUGUCUGGUGCCGCAGGGAAGCCGUGAAGCGAGCCACCUGGGAAGUACGGCCGCAAGGCUGAAACUUAAAGGAAUUGGCGGGGGAGCACAACAACGGGUGGAGCCUGCGGUUUAAUUGGACUCAACGCCGGACAACUCACCGGGGACGACAGCAAUAUGUAGGCCAGGCUAAAGACCUUGCCUGAAUCGCUGAGAGGAGGUGCAUGGCCGUCGCCAGUUCGUACUGUGAAGCAUCCUGUUAAGUCAGGCAACGAGCGAGACCCGUGCCCACUGUUACCAGCAUGUCCUCCGGGACGAUGGGUACUCUGUGGGGACCGCCGAUGUUAAAUCGGAGGAAGGUGCGGGCUACGGUAGGUCAGUAUGCCCCGAAUUUCCCGGGCUACACGCGGGCUACAAUGAAUGGGACAAUGGGUCCCUACCCCGAGAGGGGUUGGUAAUCUCCCAAACCCAUCCGUAGUUCGGAUCGAGGGCUGUAACUCGCCCUCGUGAAGCUGGAAUCCGUAGUAAUCGCGUUUCAAUAUAGCGCGGUGAAUACGUCCCUGCUCCUUGCACACACCGC
rnacentral:rRNA from 1 species